rnacentral:lncRNA from 1 species
ACUGAGUUUAGAAAGUCUUCGACCAAAGCAAGUGUGAAUACUCCAAAGGAGUUUCCAUGGAUUCACAAGUAAACUCGAGUCAAGCGAAUCUAGCAUAUGACUGACGAUAGGGUCAGACGAGUUCUCUAUAACCUUCAUCAAAUCAAAACUCACGAUAGAAGAACUGAAUCAUAUGAUAACUGUAUCUAGAAAUUCACACUUUCAUUCUACUGAGUUGUCACUACAUAUCGCU